GACGAACGCUGGCGGCGUGCUUAACACAUGCAAGUCGAACGGAAAGGCCUCUUUCGGGGGGUACUCGAGUGGCGAACGGGUGAGUAACACGUGAGUAACCUGCCCUUGACUUUGGGAUAACUUCAAGAAACUGGGGCUAAUACCGGAUAGGAGCUCCUGCUGCAUGGUGGGGGUUGGAAAGUUUCGGCGGUUGGGGAUGGACUCGCGGCUUAUCAGCUUGUUGGUGGGGUAGUGGCUUACCAAGGCUUUGACGGGUGGCCGGCCUGAGAGGGUGACCGGCCACAUUGGGACUGAGAUACGGCCCAGACUCCUACGGGAGGCAGCAGUGGGGAAUAUUGCACAAUGGGUGGAAGCCUGAUGCAGCAACGCCGUGUGCGGGAUGACGGCCUUCGGGUUGUAAACCGCUUUCGCUCAUGACGAAGCUUUGUGUGACGGUAGUGGGUAAAGAAGCACCGGCUAACUACGUG
rnacentral:rRNA from 1 species